GCCUGGGUGGCUCAUUUGGUUGAGCAGCCGGCUUCAGCUCAGGUCAUGAUCUCACAGUUCGUGGGUUCAAGCCCCACAUCAGGCU
rnacentral:tRNA from 1 species